AGAGUUUGAUCCUGGCUCAGAUUGAACGCUGGCGGCAGGCCUAACACAUGCAAGUCGAGCGGCAGCGGGAAAGUAGCUUGCUACUUUUGCCGGCGAGCGGCGGACGGGUGAGUAAUGCCUGGGGAUCUGCCCAGUCGAGGGGGAUAACUACUGGAAACGGUAGCUAAUACCGCAUACGCCCUACGGGGGAAAGCAGGGGACCUUCGGGCCUUGCGCGAUUGGAUGAACCCAGGUGGGAUUAGCUAGUUGGUGAGGUAAUGGCUCACCAAGGCGACGAUCCCUAGCUGGUCUGAGAGGAUGAUCAGCCACCACUGGAACUGAGACAC
rnacentral:rRNA from 1 species